CAGAGACUGCAAGCGUUACUCGGAUUCACUGGGCGUAAAGGGAGCGCAGGCGGACCGGUGUGUCAGAUGUGAAACCCCAGGGCUCAACCCUGGGACUGCGUCUGAAACUGCCGGUCUAGGGACUCGGAGGGGCUAGUGGAAUUCCUGGUGGAGCAGUGAAAUGCGUAGAUAUCAGGAGGAACACCAACGGCGAAGGCAGCUAGCUGGACGAGAUCCGACGCUCAGGCUCGAAAGUAUGGGGAGCAAAAAGGAUUAGAUACCCUUGUAGUCCAUACUGUAAACGUUGUUGAUUAGGUCUUGGAGCAUUCGAACGCUCCAGGGCUCAAGCUAACGCAAUAAAUCAACCGCCUGAGGACUACGGCCGCAAGGCUA
rnacentral:rRNA from 1 species